UCCCAGGUGGCUCAGUGGUAAAGAGUCUGCCUGCAAUGCAGGAAACCCAGUUUUGAUCCCUGGGUAGGGAA
rnacentral:tRNA from 1 species